rnacentral:rRNA from 1 species
AACGAACGCUGGCGGCAGGCUUAACACAUGCAAGUCGAGCGCCCCGCAAGGGGAGCGGCAGACGGGUGAGUAACGCGUGGGAAUCUACCCAUCUCUACGGAAUAACGCAUGGAAACGUGUGCUAAUACCGUAUACGUCCUUCGGGAGAAAGAUUUAUCGGAGAUGGAUGAGCCCGCGUUGGAUUAGCUAGUUGGUGGGUAAAGGCCUACCAAGGCGACGAUCCAUAGCUGGUCUGAGAGGAUGAUCAGCCACACUGGGACUGAGACACGGCCCAGACUCCUACGGGAGGCAGCAGUGGGGAAUAUUGGACAAUGGGCGCAAGCCUGAUCCAGCCAUGCCGCGUGAGUGAUGAAGGCCCUAGGGUUGUAAAGCUCUUUCACCGGUGAAGAUAAUGACGGUAACCGGGGAAGAAGCCCCGGCUAACUUCGUGCCAGCCGCCGCAGUAACAC